rnacentral:rRNA from 1 species
CGCCGCUGCUAAAGCGGAGGAAGGAGCGGGCUACGGUAGGUCAGUAUGCCCCGAAUGACUCGGGCUACACGCGGGCUACAAUGGUUGGGACAAUGGGCACCUACACCGAGAGGUGACGGUAAUCUCCUAAACCCAGCCUUAAUUCGGAUUGAGGGCUGAAACUCCCCCUCAUGAAGCCGGAAUCCGUAAUAAUCGCGUAUCAACAUCACGCGGUGAAUACCUCCCUGCUCCUUGCACAAGGGGUUUACUCACGCAACUACCUGCCCAGGGGGUU